rnacentral:rRNA from 1 species
GUGGCGGACCCUCCCGGAGCCUCCUUUGCGUAGUAACUAACGUCUCGCAUCCCUUUCCGGAGGGACUCCUGCCGUAAAACCCCCGGGUUCUGGUGACCUCGGAUCCGGGGGCGCCCCCCAGGCCCGGUCCCGCUCGGGGCCGAGCGCCCGCCGGAGGAUCACCCAACUCUAUUUUAACGACGUUUCUUCUGAGUGGCACAAGCAAAUAAUUAAAACUUUUAACAACGGAUCUCUUGGUUCUGGCAUCGAUGAAGAACGCAGCGAAAUGCGAUAAGUAAUGUGAAUUGCAGAAUUCAGUGAAUCAUCGAAUCUUUGAACGCACAUUGCGCCCGCCAGCAUUCUGGCGGGCAUGCCUGUUCGAGCGUCAUUUCAACCCUCAAGCCUCGCUUGGUGUUGGGGCACUACGGUCGACGUAGGCCCUUAAAAGGUAGUGGCGGACCCUCCCCGGGAGCCUCCUUUGCGUAGUAACUAACGUCUCGCAUCGGGGAUUCCGGAGGGACUCCUGCCGUAAAAACCCCCACAC